GUUGACAUUUUAGCCAAUUGGCUCCAAUUCGUUUGAUUUGGAUAAGCGCCUCUUGGUUUCCAGCUGAUUGGUCCCAAGGUUGUUCGAUCAAAUUUAGAUCGUCAUCUCUGUAUCUACUAAUGGAAGCAAGUGUGGAAACAUUUUUCAGAUUAUGUUACUGAUGACCGGGCCAGAAUUCAACUAUAGCUAUUGUGGGAGUCAGAAAGCUGAAAGCGAACAAGCUAAAUAUCCUCAGGCUAAAGCAACAAUCAUGACACAAAGUUGCAGUAUAUUGAGGAAAUGAAAAACUCUGCUAUUUUUUAGAUUUAUUUUCCUCAUUUCAUAAUAAGAUUUGAAGACUCCAAUUACAUUUGCGGCACUUGAUAUGUAGUUUAUGAUACAACAAUAGCUACAAAGAUUCUGCAGCGAAGAUAUGUAAUUAAUUAUUUUUGAAACCUUUAAUUUCUUUCGUUGGAUUUCCAACCAAUUAAUGUAUGAAUGGACAUGAUCUAAAUAAAGCGGAUUCUGUUGUCUUUAUGUA